rnacentral:lncRNA from 1 species
GUCUUGGUGAAAUACUCCAGCUGCUUUACUUUUCACUGUCUGAAGACCUCGUUAUUCAGAUAAUAAGAUAAUAUUCUUUUAAGCAGUGAUAUUUGUUGUGUGUGGCAUUGACAAUUGUGGACAUUAUCAAGGAAAAUAUAUCUUAAAACCUUACUUUAGAGGCUGCUGUCUCCACUUUAAUAUAUAUUCUGGGUUGUUGGAAGAAUUGAACUGGGACACAUGGACAGCAGCAUGUGAGAGCUUCAAAAAGGAUGUUAUGUGUCACUUGAACUUGGAGAAGUGCUGA